UGCUAAUUAAGGAUCGGUUACAAGGCUUUAAUUUAUUUUUUAUUUAAAUAAAUCACUCUAUAACCUAAAAACCCUGCUAAGGAUCGCCUAAUAAUGGUGGUCUUAGAGCAUCCACAAUGGUGUAACCCAUUGUGGAGUCCAUAGGAAUUUUUUAAUAUUUUUUCUUUUUGAAUAGUUAAGAACUCCUGUCAAAAUAGUGUGUCCACUGGUGUACUCCUAGUUGGAGUCCUUAGGGAAUAAAAAAUUAAUUUUUUUGAAUGAGGUAAAAUUAAUUUUUAUAUAUUGCAUGAAUAAAUAUAAAGUUACACUAACUAAACAUAAAGAUACAUUAAUUAAACAAAAAUAUAAAUUAAUUAAACAUAAAGAUACAAUAAUUUAACAUAAACAAGGAAUGAGAAAAAAAAAGAUACAAUAAUCUAUACUAUACUAAAAGCCCUAUAUACUCAAUGGUGAAGCUGCCACGUCACCAAAAAUAAUCAGCCAAUGAGAGAUAACAUUUUUGCCAUGUCACUACUGCUUCCGAAGAAUAAAGCUCGAAACUGGAUUUCCUUUUGGGCUGUCCCUACAUUUACGUACGGCCCAUAUCAAGUCCAAUCUUGCCUAGCUCUAACUUUGUCUGAAGCAUCCAGAGUUCAUCUUCCCGUCUCUUCCACUUCGUCUUCAACCCCGUUACUGCAAGCUCCUAUCAAUCAUUUAUGCUCUUUAAAUGUCUUCUUUAUUGUAAAUACCAAUUUAUCCAUUAAUCUAAGCAUUUACGAGUUCUCCAUCACUACUUCUACUCUCUCGCAUUAAAGUGGAAUUAGCAUCCUCCACCGUAGCUCCGCUUAUAAAUGGGUUCGUUGCCUGCGUUGAACAGCCAUACCACUGCGAAAUCUCGAAGAUCACUCUCUGUCAAGCAUCAACUCUAUUUAUGGCUGAUUCGUUCACUCUUCGUCCCGGCCCCAUACUAUUGGAUCGACUUCUAUUGAUUCCGUAUGAUGUUAUUUAUUGCAAUUAAUCAUACCUUUGGUUGUCGACAUUUUUUUGGUUGAUGAGAUUCAGAUUUGUGUUUAAAUUUUGUACUAUACUAAAAGCCCUAUAUACUCAAUGGUGAGGCUGCCACGUCACCAAAAAUAAUCAGCCAAUGAGAGAUAACAUUUUUGCCAUGUCACUACUGCUUCCGAAGAAUAAAGCUCGAAACUGGAUUUCCUUUUGGGCUGUCCCUACAUUUACGUACGGCCCAUAUCAAGUCCAAUCUUGCCUAGCUCUAACUUUGUCUGAAGCAUCCAGAGUUCAUCUUUCCGUCUCUUCCACUUCGUCUUCAACCCCGUUACUGCAAGCUCCUAUCAAUCAUUUAUGCUCUUUAAAUGUCUUCUUUAUUGUAAAUACCAAUUUAUCCAUUAAUCUAAGCAUUUACGAGUUCUCCAUCACUACUUCUACUCUCUCGCAUUAAAGUGGAAUUAGCAUCCUCCACCGUAGCUCCGCUUAUAAAUGGGUUCGUUGCCUGCGUUGAACAGCCAUACCACUGCGAAAUCUCGAAGAUCACUCUCUGUCAAGCAUCAACUCUAUUUAUGGCUGAUUCGUUCACUCUUCGUCCCGGCCCCAUACUAUUGGAUCGACUUCUAUUGAUUCCGUAUGAUGUUAUUUAUUGCAAUUAAUCAUACCUUUGGUUGUCGACAUUUUUUUGGUUGAUGAGAUUCAGAUUUGUGUUUAAAUUUUGAAACCAGCAUUGAAGAAUGCGGCCGGAUCUAAAUCGAGUGGGAGCUCUUUGGACGAUGAUGAUGAGGAUGAGGACGAUGACGUCUGUGAUUGGGGGUUUGUGGUGAGGAAGAAGAGUGGAGUGGAUGAGGUAUAUCCGACUGGAGGUGAAGGGUCGUCGUGUAGGGAGCUGGCGAGAGUGAUUCUGAAGUUGGGAGAGGUGUACGAGAGGAUCGAAGGUGCGAAGCAGGGAUGAUGGUUGAGUUGGAGAAACAGAGGAUGGAAGCUGCUAAGGAGAUUGAGUUGAAACGAAUGAACAUGUUGAUGGAUAUGCAGAUGGAGCUUGAAAGAUCCAAGCUUGCCAAACGUAGAACUGCUGCUUCAGUUAAGAAGUUGUAGGAUUAAAAUUGUGGAGAAGCUAUACUGUGGUAGAGCAAGGGAGCAAUGGUUGGAUCUGAGAGCUCAUUUUGAAUUGGAGAAACUGUUAUUAUUCUUACUCACUAGGUUUCAUGUUAGAGCAAUGUUUUUUUUUUCUUCUUCUUAUUCUGUUUCCUUCUCUUAAAGCAGGUUGGUGAAAGAAACUCUGGUAGUAUCCCACAGACAUAUCAACGUGUAUUUGACACUGUCAAGUGUUAAUAUAUUAUGGUUUCUGUAUCAAUACCUGCGGAGUGCUCUUUGCUCUUUUUGUGUAAUCAUGUCUCAGAGUUGCCUACAGAUUUCAGAGCCAUUCAUGUUCUUCCAUAAUUAACAUUUGGAACAGAUCAAAACACACCAAGCUAUUGAUAGAGCACAAGUAGUGUAUUAUUAUUGAAUUGGAAGGAGUUAUAAUCUCAGGAGCACGAAUGAGACCUUAUCUCAGGAUCCCAUACACAUGAGAUUUCUCUCAGUUCAUCAACCGGCCUUAGUCACCCGAAUAAAUAUCAAGCUAAUCGUCUCAUUACUUAUUGGUAUUAUACGGUUUCUUUGAACACUCAGACUCCCAUUUCUUAAAUAAAAAUCAUGACGACAAAUCAGCGAUUAUAGUGACUAAAUGCCAGGUAGAAAAAUGGUUUUCAGAAAAUUACUACAUUUUCAUGUGAAGCUUAAGAUACCAGAAUUGAUGAAAGUUAGGACAAAGAUUAUGUCAAGACAUACAAAAUCAUAUAUAUAAAGAUAAAUAGAGAAUUAAUAUCAAUAUAUCGACCCUCAUAAUAAUUAAAAGAAAAUUAAUUUCAAAUUUAAUGUAUAUUUUUAUUUAUAAAAUAUUGGUAUUAACUAUAAAUAAUUUUAUACAUUUAGAGUAUUUCCACCCCUACCUAUUUCUUAUUAUAAAUUAGCAAAAUAACAAAUGAAAUUUAAAAUUAGAUAAAAAUACAUAAUAAAGGCCAAUACCAUAAUAUAACCUAAAAUGUAUAAAUUUCAAGAAUAAACAAUGCAAUAUUAAUGAAUUACAGUAGUUAAAAUGAGAUAAUUUGAGAACAAGUUGUUGCAGAAAGUUUAAAACAAACCAAAUAAAUAUAGAAAUAAUUGUAACACAUCAAAACUAAAAAUGAAAUUUAAAAAACACAAUAUCAGCAAAACGAAAUACAAUGUGAAUAGGAAAAUUGUCAAAUACACCACAUUCAUAAUGCUACUUUUCAUAUUUACACUAAUUAUUUUUACCUUCAUUUUUAAAAAGGAAAAAAAGACAUUUAUAACCAUAGAGUUAACUAAUCUAGACUUGGAGUUUAUAGUUGACGGAUGGGGUAGAGUUUUUGGAGUGUGAAUUUUAGGAUUCUAAUAAAUAUAUAAAUAAAUACUUAAAUAAUACAAAAAACUUUUAGAAAAUAGUUUCAAAAAUCAUUUCAAUUUUCAAAAAUUCAAAAAAAUAAGUUCGAAUUUCAAAAGUAUAAUUUGAAACAUAAAUUUAUUUAUUUAUUUAUUAUAUAUAGAGAAAAUAAAUGUACAAGAGUCUUUUGACUCUUAAUAAAGAACAUAUUUUUCAAGAUGUAUCUUUAGUAGUGGUAAACAUGAAUAAUUAUACCAAAAAAAUGGUAAACAUGAAAAUUUUCCAUGUGAAUAACACAAAUAUCAAAGUCAUACAACAUAAUCACAAAACAAACACAUCCUCUUUAACAUAUUUCAAAACAAACUAAUACACUACUAUCACUAAUCAAUUAUCAUAUGGAUCAAAAAAAAAUUUAAAU